AUUGAGGAGUGGGUUGCUUGUGGAAAAUGUGUAUUUUUCUGUGCAUUUUCCUUGCAGUAUUUUGAAAUAGUUUGCUACAAAAUCUUAAUUUAACAGAACCUUGACCUCUAAGAGAGAGAUCCCUCCAUAUGGAGGAUCUCCAGUAGGAUGAAGGGAGACCCUCAGUUGAAUUUUGCCAAAGACUGGAGGAAGACUUUGUCUCUCCAUUUUGAUGCAGAGUCAAAAAUCAAACUAGGCAUUUUGGGCAGUAGUUACGACUCAGGGGGGUUGCCGGGUUGAUGGUCUUGAAUGAGUGAUUCUCUAGUAUAGAAAUCUGGUUUGCACAGAUGAGAGUGUGUGGGUUCCCGGAGUACAGCUCUGCUGAGUUUAUGCCAGAUUUUUGACUAAAUCAGUUCUGUAAUAAAAGCAAAGUGUUUCAGUCUUUCUCUUUCUGCUGUGUACAGUCAGCACACCUGCAUUAUUUUGUCCUUGUCCCUGACUCAACUUUAUUCCUUUUGUAGCUGGUUUGGAUGAUGUUUUUGGGGAAUUGCCUCUGAAGGAAGACAGGCAUUUCCUUCCACUUUCUGUUUGGGGUCUACUGCUGAAUGUUGUCACUCCCUCUUUCCCAGAAAAUUUUACCUAUAGUUAAGGUUAGUAGAGAUAACAACGGCAGGCAGCAAGAAGCAAAUACGGAGAGCUGACUUCUUCCCAAGCUGGGUAACUGGAGCACUGGGUUGGAAUGUGAGAGGAGAUGUAUGGAUAAAGUUACCUUUUUAUUUUAAUUCAAUUAAGGGUUCUGGAUGAAGUUCAGAGAGAGCUCACUGCUUCCCAUAGCUGUUUCUGUAUCCAGGCUGGAGAAGAUGUGAUUCUGACUCUUUCUUUGUGAAUGGUUCUACUUGAGAGGUGCUCCAUAUUUUUCCCUAUUAAGGCUGAGUGAAAUUUGUUCAAAAAUAAUCAAAUUUCUGAAUCUGGACUACUUUUCUAAAGAACUCUUGCUGUCUGGGUGUCUUCAUACAUGAGUGAUUCGUAACUGGAAUAUUUUUUUUUUCCUUUUGGAAUAUUUGUCUUGUGUUUUAUUGUUCUGUAGCUGUUUCGCUGAAAACAUCCUUACUCCAAAGUUGGUUUUUUCUUUUUUUUUUUUUUUUUUUUUUGAGAUGUACAUAGCUGAUAUAUAUUUUUAUAUAGUUUAUGCUAAAGAUAAAUAGCUUUUCUUCAUUAUACCCAAAUAAACAAUCUGUUCAGUGCGUCUGUGGCAUUCAAUUCACUGAUCAGUAAAAACAGAAUUCCGAGAAAUAAGAAGCGGCAAAUUAUUCUUCCUUCCAUCAUUUAAAAUGUUGGAGAGGGGUGUGUGGAAUCCAAGACAAGAUUAGUUAGGUUGGCUUUUAAUGGGUGGUGACACCGGAGUGAUCAGAGUAUUUUGUUUAUUCUGGGAAGUUGGAUGAACAAUACUCAAAUACCUUUUUAAAUCUGUUUUUUCCAUCAACUGUGUUAAUGUUAUUUUAAUCUUAUCUUUUAGUAACGCAUCCUAUUACAUUUAAAUUUGCUAUGGGUUUUUUUUUGCUAAGGAUUUUUUGUUUGCUUGUUUUAAUGUAUUAUAAGGAGAGUUGGAAAUAGUGUUUAACUGUUUGUAGUUUUUCUUUAAUUUUCUGUUUCUCUUUGGGAUACUUUAGUAAUCUUUAAUCUUUUAUAAAGAAAGAGAUGACCUGGGAAAAAAAAAAUCAAUUUCUGAUAUAAAGUUUGCUCAUAUAAAGCAUGCUGAUUUCACCUGAGGAAAAUAAAUGCAGUGAUAAUCUGGAUUGUCAGGUGGCAGAGAUACACUGAGCAACAUUGUACAAAAUCUUUGGCCAACCAUCACUGUAGAGCUCUUGCUUUGAUGAAAAAUUAGAUGGUGUUUACUUGUGACCC